rnacentral:rRNA from 1 species
GUCCUACGGGUGGCUGCAGUGGGGAAUAUUGGACAAUGGGGGCAACCCUGAUCCAGCAAUGCCGCGUGAGUGAUGAAGGCCUUCGGGUUGUAAAGCUCUUUUGCCAGGGACGAUGAUGACGGUACCUGGAGAAUAAGCACCGGCUAACUUAGUGCCAGCAGCCGCGGUAAUACGUAGGGGGCAAGCGUUGUUCGGACUUACUGGGCGUAAAGGGCGCGUAGGCGGCUUAUCAAGUCAGGCGUGAAAUUCCCGGGCUCAACCUGGGGGCUGCGCUUGAUACUGAGGAGCUUGAAUGCGGUAGAGGAUACUGGAAUUCCCAGUGUAGAGGUGAAAUUCGUAGAUAUUGGGAAGAACACCGGUGGCGAAGGCGGCUAGCUGGCCCGUAAUUGACGCUGAGGCGCGAAAGCGUGGGGAGCAAACAGGAUUAGAUACCCCUGUAGUC